rnacentral:misc_RNA from 1 species
GAUGAAAACGCAGCGAAAUGCGAUAAGUAAUGUGAAUUGCAGAAUUCAGUGAAUCAUCGAAUCUUUGAACGCACAUCGCGCCCGCCAGUAUUCUGGCGGGCAUGCCUGUCUGAGCGUCAUUUCAACCCUCAUGCCCCUAGGGCGUGGUGUUGGGGAUCGGCCAAAGCCCGCGAGGGACGGCCGGCCCCUAAAUCUAGUGGCGGACCCGUCGUGGCCUCCUCUGCGAAGUAGUGAUAUUCCGCAUCGGAGAGCGAUGAGCCCCUGCCGUUAAACCCCCAACUUCCCAAGGUUGACCUCAGAUCAGGUAGGAAUACCCGCUGAACUUAAGCAUAUCAAUAAGCGGAGGA